rnacentral:rRNA from 1 species
AAGUGGGGAUGACGUCAAGUCCUCAUGGCCUUUAUGACCAGGGCUACACACGUACUACAAUGGCAGGUACAAAGGGCAGCCACUUAGCGAUAAGGCGCGAAUCCCGUAAAACCUGUCUCAGUCCGGAUUGGAGUCUGCAACUCGACUCCAUGAAGUUGGAAUCGCUAGUAAUCGCAGAUCAGCACGCUGCGGUGAAUACGUUCCCGGGCCUU